rnacentral:rRNA from 1 species
GAUGAACGCUAGCGGGAGGCCUAACACAUGCAAGCCGAGCGGUAUUGUUUCUUCGGAAAUGAGAGAGCGGCGUACGGGUGCGUAACACGUUUGCAACCUGCCUUUAUCUGGGGGAUAGCCUUUCGAAAGGAAGAUUAAUACUCCAUAAUAUAUUGAACGGCAUCGUUUAAUAUUGAAAGCUCCGGCGGAUAGAGAUGGGCACGCGCAAGAUUAGCUAGUUGGUGAGGUAACGGCUCACCAAGGCGAUGAUCUUUAGGGGGCCUGAGAGGGUGAUCCCCCAAACUGGUACUGAGACACGGACCAGACUCCUACGGGAGGCAGCAGUGAGGAAUAUUGGUCAAUGGGUGCAAGCCUGAACCAGCCAUCCCGCGUGAAGGACGACUGCCCUAUGGGUUGUAAACUUCUUUUGUAUAGGGAUAAACCUACCCUCGAGAGGGUAGCUGAAGGUACUAUACGAAUAAGCACCGGCUAACUCCGUG